GUAUUGUUUUUUGGCCGAAGCCUAAAAUACAUUCAUUUACUUUAGAGUAUAUGAAAACAUAGACUCGGAAAUUAAUCCUAGUCUACAGCAAGUGCACAGGUGGAUGUAAAGGCGGGAGUGCACGACUUGUAAAGGCCAGCAACAUCCCUUUGGAUUCGAUAAUGAUCCUUCCGCAGGUUCACCUACGGAAA
rnacentral:misc_RNA from 1 species